UCCAGCGUGGCAUAGUGGUUUGAGUGUUGGACUAUGAACUCUGAAGAUCAGUGUUCGAAUCCCUGUUUGAC